rnacentral:rRNA from 1 species
GCUCAGGAUGAACGCUGGCGGCGUGCCUAAUACAUGCAAGUCGAGCGAACGGACGAGAGUGCUUGCACUCUUUGAUGUUAGCGGCGGACGGGUGAGUAACACGUGGGUAACCUACCUAUAAGACUGGGAUAACUUCGGGAAACCGGAGCUAAUACCGGAUAAUAUUUUUCUCUGCAUGGAGGAAUAGUGAAAGACGGUUUUGCUGUCACUUAUAGAUGGACCCGCGGUGUAUUAGCUAGUUGGUGAGGUAACGGCUCACCAAGGCAACGAUACAUAGCCGACCUGAGAGGGUGAUCGGCCACACUGGGACUGAGACACGGCCCAGACUCCUACGGGAGGCAGCAGUAGGGAAUCUUCCGCAAUGGACGAAAGUCUGACGGAGCAACGCCGCGUGAGUGAAGAAGGUUUUCGGAUCGUAAAACUUCUGUUGUAAAGGGAAAGAAACAAGUACGU